UUCUGGUGGCUAAGAUGGUAAAGAAUCCGCCUACAGUGUGGGAGACCCAGGUUCGAUCCCUGGGUCAGAAA
rnacentral:tRNA from 1 species